GAUUACCUACGGGACGCAGCAGUAGGGAAUUUUCGUCAAUGGGCGCAAGCCUGAACGAGCAAUGCCGCGUGAACGAGGAAGGUCUUCGGAUCGUAAAGUUCUGUUGAAGGGGAAAAAGAGCGGAGAGAGGAAAUGGUCUCCGAUUGAUAUUACCCUUCGAGGAAGUCACGGCUAACUACGUGCCAGCAGCCGCGGUAAUACGUAGGCGGCGAGCGUUAUCCGGCAUGCUUGCGCGUACA
rnacentral:rRNA from 1 species